rnacentral:tRNA from 1 species
GGGCCUAUCGUCUAAUGGAUUAGGACACAAAUCUUCUAAAUUUGGAAUGUAGGUUCAAUUCCUACUGGGCCUA